rnacentral:rRNA from 1 species
UACGUAGGGUGCAAGCGUUGUCCGGAAUUAUUGGGCGUAAAGAGCUCGUAGGCGGCUUGUCGCGUCGGCUGUGAAAACCUGGGGCUCAACCCCGGGCCUGCAGCCGAUACGGGCAGACUAGAGUUCGGCAGGGGAGACGUGGAAUUCCUGGUGUAGCGGUGAAAUGACGCAGAUAUCAGGAGGAACACCGGUGGCGAAGGCGGGUCUCUGGGCCGAUACUGACGCUGAGGAGCGAAAGCGUGGGGAGCGAACAGG